UAAGGGCGUUGAAGCAUGAUCGUAAGGACAUGUGGAGCGCUUAGAAGUGAGAAUGCCGGUGUGAGUAGCGAAAGACGGGUGAGAAUCCCGUCCACCGAUUGACUAAGGUUUCCAGAGGAAGGCUCGUCCGCUCUGGGUUAGUCGGGUCCUAAGCUGAGGCCGACAGGCGUAGGCGAUGGAUAACAGGUUGAUAUUCCUGUACCACCUAUAAUCGUUUUAAUCGAUGGGGGGACGCAGUAGGAUAGGCGAAGCGUGCGAUUGGAUUGCACGUCUAAGCAGUAAGGCUGAGUAUUAGGCAAAUCCGGUACUCGUUAAGGCUGAGCUGUGAUGGGGAGAAGACAUUGUGUCUUCGAGUCGUUGAUUUCACACUGCCGAGAAAAGCCUCUAGAUAGAAAAUAGGUGCCCGUACCGCAAACCGACACAGGUAGUCAAGAUGAGAAUUCUAAGGUGAGCGAGCGAACUCUCGUUAAGGAACUCGGCAAAAUGACCCCGUAACUUCGGGAGAAGGGGUGCUCUUUAGGGUUAACGCCCAGAAGAGCCGCAGUGAAUAGGCCCAAGCGACUGUUUAUCAAAAACACAGGUCUCUGCUAAACCGUAAGGUGAUGUAUAGGGGCUGACGCCUGCCCGGUGCUGGAAGGUUAAGAGGAGUGGUUAGCUUCUGCGAAGCUACGAAUCGAAGCCCCAGUAAACGGCGGCCGUAACUAUAACGGUCCUAAGGUAGCGAAAUUCCUUGUCGGGUAAGUUCCGACCCGCACGAAAGGCGUAACGAUUUGGGCACUGUCUCAACGAGAGACUCGGUGAAAUCAUAGUACCUGUGAAGAUGCAGGUUACCCGCGACAGGACGGAAAGACCCCGUGGAGCUUUACUGUAGCCUGAUAUUGAAAUUCGGCACAGCUUGUACAGGAUAGGUAGGAGCCUUUGAAACGUGAGCGCUAGCUUACGUGGAGGCGCUGGUGGGAUACUACCCUAGCUGUGUUGGCUUUCUAACCCGCACCACUUAUCGUGGUGGGAGACAGUGUCAGGCGGGCAGUUUGACUGGGGCGGUCGCCUCCUAAAAGGUAACGGAGGCGCUCAAAGGUUCCCUCAGAAUGGUUGGAAAUCAUUCAUAGAGUGUAAAGGCAUAAGGGAGCUUGACUGCGAGACCUACAAGUCGAGCAGGGUCGAAAGACGGACUUAGUGAUCCGGUGGUUCCGCAUGGAAGGGCCAUCGCUCAACGGAUAAAAGCUACCCCGGGGAUAACAGGCUUAUCUCCCCCAAGAGUUCACAUCGACGGGGAGGUUUGGCACCUCGAUGUCGGCUCAUCGCAUCCUGGGGCUGUAGUCGGUCCCAAGGGUUGGGCUGUUCGCCCAUUAAAGCGGUACGCGAGCUGGGUUCAGAACGUCGUGAGACAGUUCGGUCCCUAUCCGUCGUGGGCGUAGGAAAUUUGAGAGGAGCUGUCCUUAGUACGAGAGGACCGGGAUGGACAUACCUCUGGUGUACCAGUUGUCGUGCCAACGGCAUAGCUGGGUAGCUAUGUGUGGACGGGAUAAGUGCUGAAAGCAUCUAAGCAUGAAGCCCCCCUCAAGAUGAGAUUUCCCAACUUCGGUUAUAAGAUCCCUCAAAGAUGAUGAGGUUAAUAGGUUCGAGGUGGAAGCAUGGUGACAUGUGGAGCUGACGAAUACUAAUCGAUCGAAGACUUAAUCAA
rnacentral:rRNA from 1 species